rnacentral:misc_RNA from 1 species
ACGAUGCGCCAGCUCAACAGAACGAGUGUUUCGGCUCAUCGCUUCACCAGUCACCACCCCGACAGAAACCGCCACCGUCAAGCAUGUUGGGUGCACCGAGUCCGGCAGCAGACGAUUUCAGACGCCGUCUUGCACGGCUUCAGGGGUGAAGGGCGGACUAGGCAGCAGAGACACUAACGGGCCGAAGAUCCUGGCAGCCCUCUCCGCGCCGAGGGGCAGCACCAGCCGCGAGAACCCUCAAAGAGCUCUGAAGGCAGGGCUGUCCGUCGGGUGGCCGGUAGAGGGACAAGACAAUGAGGUGCUCACAGGGGUGGUGGCUUGCCACGCGGGAAGGCGACACGCCACGGGGCUGCAUUUUCCUCUGCUAGAGUGCACGCCAAUGCAGCUGUGUUGCACGUGCACACGGGCAGGCAUUUAGUCAGCUUGGCUGCCCUGAUCAUGUGCAUACGAUGCGCACAACGAGAUUGCAUCCAGCCGACACACCGUCUUCAGGACCUUUCCGGUGUAGACGUGACAAGAGCGAUCCUUCGCUAUCAGACUCAGGGUGUGGCCCCUCAUUCCCACGCAGCUGUGCCGGACCGCGGCUCUCGGGCUAGAACGCGCGGAGGUGCUGGCUGUUGGCUUUGAGGCCGCAGUGCCACAGAAGUGUGCCGAGCAAGACGUGAAUAAGUGGAAUGCGUGUGAGUGCGCUAGAGAGCGCGAGCGAGUCGCUAGUCGACGCACGACUAGCGACAGCAGGGGGCACAUGCGCUUCUUCUAUCCGACCUCUCCCGUGCGAUGAGGUUAGAGGAGACAUGCAACCAUGGAAAAUGCAUCAAAGAAGUUUGCAAGUGAUUCACACACACACACACACACACACACACACACACACAGAUGAUGCUUCAUAAGAUGCGCACCACAUGUGGUGCGCUUGCGUGCGUGCAGCGGUCUGUCGCCUCAUUUGUCGUGCGCUGUUCGCUUAGUAUGGUGACGGGGGGUCUCGUACGGGUCUUUUGCUUUUUCGAAAUCUCUCCUCCGCUUCUGCUCCUCUUCUGCGCCUCUCACCCUUGAGCUCGCGGCUCUCCGCGGCUGGCUGCAUGCGACUAGCUGUGCGGCGCGUCUUUGGCCACUUCCUCCCCCUGCGCUGACGCCCACCAUUGGCUCCUCCACCAUCCUCGCUGCUCUUCUUUUCACGGCACAUUAUGUGCUGCCGGCACACGUCAGCAUGAUGACGCCCAAAAAGCAAGCGAGCAGGCUCACACACACUCCUCGCUCCCUUGAUGGGGCGGACACUCGCUCGUGCGCACGUUCAAAGGGACGCGCUCGCACCCGAGAGCGCGUCGUCACGGUUGGCCAGCUGCUGCGUAGCACACCCCAUGGCCUGCGCUUCGGGGCGCGUCCGUCAGCUCUCACCUCCUCCUCUCCACCAUCUCGCACAGCGCCUGGUACGCUGGAGGCCACACCACAACUUUUCUCCUGAGCGAAGGGACAGGCAACGCAGCGGCGCGUCCUGGACGCAGUGACACCCAUCGACAGUACACUUCCUCCCUCUUCUCUUCUCCUUUCUUCUUCGUUAUAUUUUGUGGUGACGCGGAGGGACAG